rnacentral:rRNA from 1 species
UACGUAGGGGGCGAGCGUUGUCCGGAUUUAUUGGGCGUAAAGCGCGUGUAGGCGGCCAGGUAGGUCCGUUGUGAAAACUCGAGGCUCAACCUCGAGACGUCGAUGGAAACCGUAUGGCUAGAGUCCGGAAGAGGAGAGUGGAAUUCCUGGUGUAGCGGUGAAAUGCGCAGAUAUCAGGAAGAACACCCGUGGCGAAGGCGGCUCUCUGGGACGGUACUGACGCUGAGACGCGAAAGCGUGGGGAGCGAACAGG